AUUGAACGCUGGCGGCAGGCCUAACACAUGCAAGUCGAGCGAGCGGCGGACGGGUGAGUAAUGUAUGGGGACUGCCCGAUAGAGGGGGAUAACUACUGGAACCGGUAUCUAAUACCCCAUACUAUCGGAUAACCCAGAUGGGAUUAGCUAGUAUGUGAGGUAAUGGCUCACCUAGGCGACGAUCCCUAUCUGGUCGGAGAGGAUGAUCAGCCACACUGGAACUGAGACACGGCCCAGACUCCUACGGAGGCAGCAGUGGGGAAUAUUGCACAAGUGGCGAAAGCCUGAUGCAGCCAUGCGGCGUGUAUGAAGAAGGCCCUAGGGUUGUAAAGUACUUUCAGUCGGGAGGCGUUACCGACAGAAGAAGCACCGGCUAACUCCGUGCCAGCCGCCGCGGUAAUAC
rnacentral:rRNA from 1 species